rnacentral:tRNA from 1 species
GGAAAGGUGGCCGAGUGGUUCAAGGCGUAGCACUGGAACUGCUAUGUGGGCUUUUGCUUACCGAGGGUUCGAAUCCCUCUCUUUCCG